CGUGGAGGAAGUGGGGAUGACGUCAAGUCAAGCAUGGCCUUACAUCCUGGGCUACACACACGCUUACAACUGGGUGAUACAAUAGGUUGCAAUAGAGCGAUCUGGGAGCCAAUCCCAAAAAUCAUCCUCCAAGUACGGAUUGCAGGCUGCAACUGCCUGCAUGAAGUUGGAGUUGCUAGUAAACGCAGGUCAGCACACUGCGUUGAAUACGUUCUCGGGCCUU
rnacentral:rRNA from 1 species